CCGAUCAAAAGAUCGUCACGGAGGAUAAUGAUCAAUCCAUUGAAAAUCGAUGCAUUGUUCACCUCUUUUGUGGGCAAAUGAGUUUCGAAUUUGCAGUACAGGGACACUAGAGUGAGAGUGUGGACAGUUGUUAGAGAACAACUUAUACUGAACGUGACCAAUACGAGAAACCAUUUGAAUGUCUACUCAUUCGUCAGUAGUUGACUCAAUGUUGCAGUGGUGUGAGUGGUCCUUUGACCUGCGAUGUUAUCGGCUAUUCGCUGCGAGGCUACUGCGUUUGACCGCACGUUCUCUUGAUCCCUAGCUAUUUAGAACCUUACUGUGUAUGUUGGUUACAGUAGGUUUAGAUUUGCUGUUAGGAGUAGGAUACACACAGAUAGAAUCUAUCGAUCUUGGUAGAAAAAGAGAAGUACUAUGCGAUUUGCGAAACUAAGUUAAGAAAGUCUUUGGCCCAAGCAAGUGUGAAUAUUGAAAAAGAAUUUCUAUGAGAUUCAUAAAUAAACUCGAAUCAAGCCAAUCUAACAUAUGACUGACGAUGAGGUCUAACGAAUUCUACAUGACUUCCGUCAAGUUAGAACUCACGAUAGAAGGACUGAAUCAUGUGAUAACUGCACCUAAAAGUUUACACUUUCAUUCUAUUAGGUUGCCACUAUAUACUGCUAGGUGUUACUGAUGGAUUUUGAGACUCGUCAAGCAUCGUCUUGAUGAUCGAUAAUCCUUGAAGGGUAAAGCUGAAAUUAUUCCAAUCCAUCGAAAAAAUUUUCGAUGAUAUUGUGAUGGAGAUCAUAAUAUAUCUCACUAUCAGAUAGAAUGGAACCUAUGGGAUCACAAAUUAAGGGAUUUAGUCUUGAAUUAACCAAUUAGACUUGUGAAGUUCUAAUUAGAUUAGGAUUUGAUAAAAUCCUAUUGGGUUUAUGAGAAUCAUGCUAGCACAUGGUUAAACUUAAUUUUUUUCUGGACUUCGAUUCUUUAUUAGAUAAGGAUUGGAUCAAGUCCAUUGUCUUGAACCUAAUCUAAAUCCAUUUUGAUUUAGGUUUAGUGGGGCAUCUAUUUAUGAUCCCAAAAAAAUUGGAUAAAGUCAAUGAGUUGGCUAACUAAUCUCUUAUUUUCUCCCUUAUUAUUUCCUAAUGUGAUGUGAAAAUUAUUUGAAAGAAGAGAUGGCGCCUGCCCUUUAGAUAGGGCAUGAGAUAGAGAGGGGCCCACUUCCUCUCUUGUUUAGGCAUGGAAGGAGAGAGAGGGGGGCGUGUUAGGCAUGGAAGAAGAGAGAGAGGGGCCAUGCCUCCUCUCUUGUGCAUGAAAAUCCUAAGGGGGCGCCAAGUAUUGACGCCCCAACUACCUACCUAAUAAUUUAUGUGGCACCCUCUCAUCUUGCCUUAUAAGAUGAGGGUGCCACAUCCACUUGACUUUUGAAGCAAGAAUUUUUUCAAUUAAAUCUGAUUUUUUUAGAAAGAAAAUCAGAUUAAAAGAUAAGAGACCUUAUGAGAU
rnacentral:lncRNA from 1 species